rnacentral:rRNA from 1 species
AGCGAACGUUAGCGGCGGGCCUAACACAUGCAAGUCGAACGAGAAUGAGGGGGCAACUCCUCUAGUAAAGUGGCGGACGGGUGCGUAACACGUUGGUAAUCUACCUUCCGGCGGGGGACAACAGUCCGAAAGGAUUGCUAAUACCGCAUACGUCGGCGAGAUCUACGGAUCUUGUCGGGAAAGAUGGCCUCUCCUUGGAAGCUGUCACCGGAAGAUGAACCUGCGGCCCAUCAGCUGUUGGUGAGGUAACGGCUCACCAAGGCUAAGACGGGUAGCUGGUCUGAGAGGAUGAUCAGCCACACUGGGACUGCGACACGGCCCAGACUCCUACGGGAGGCAGCAGUGGGAAUAUUGGGCAAUGGGCGAAAGCCUGACCCAGCCACGCCGCGUGAGUGAUGAAGGCCUU